rnacentral:rRNA from 1 species
CGCUACACAUGCAAGUCGCACGAGAGGGAGCAAUCCUGAAAGUGGCGCACGGGUGCGUAACACGUAGAUAAUCUGCCCUUUGGCGGGGGAUAACGUUCCGAAAGGAGCGCUAAUACCGCAUACAGCGUUCAGUGGUUCGCCAUUGGAUGGCAAAGGCUGGGAACCGCAAGGUCCAGUCGCCGAAGGAGGAGUCUGCGGCCCAUCAGCUAGUUGGUAAGGUAAAGGCUUACCAAGGCAAAGACGGGUAGCUGGUCUGAGAGGAUGAUCAGCCACACUGGUACUGGAACACGGACCAGACUCCUACGGGAGGCAGCAGUGGGGAAUCUUGGUCAAUGGGCGCAAGCCUGAACCAGCGACGCCGCGUGAGUGAUGAAGGCCUUCGGGUUGUAAAGCUCUGUGGGGAGAGACGAAAGAAUCGGUUCUAACAGGACCGAAGUUGACGGUAUCUCCUUAGCAAGCACCGGCUAACUCUGUGCCAGCAGCCGCGGUAAGACAGAGGGUGCAAACGUUGCUCGGAAUCACUGGGCGUAAAGGGCGUGUAGGCGGGAAUGUAAGUCGGGCGUGAAAUCCCUAGGCUCAACCUAGGAACUGCACUCGAAACUGCGUUUCUUGAGUGCCGGAGAGGAAAGCGGAAUUCCUGGUGUAGAGGUGAAAUUCGUAGAUAUCAGGAGGAACACCAGUGGCGAAGGCGGCUUUCUGGACGGUAACUGACGCUGAGACGCGAAAGCGUGGGGAGCAAACAGGAUUAGAUACCCUGGUAGUCCACGCCGUAAACGAUGAGCGCUAGGUGUCGUGGGUAUUGAC